rnacentral:rRNA from 1 species
UACGGGGGGGGUAAGCGUUGUUCGGAAUUACUGGGCGUAAAGGGCUCGUAGGCGGCCAACUAAGUCAGACGUGAAAUCCCUCAGCUUAACUGGGGAACUGCGUCUGAUACUGGAUGGCUUGGAUUCGGGAGAGGAAUGCGGAAUUCCAGGUGUAGCGGUGGAAUGCGCAGAUAUCAGGAGGAACACCGGUGGCGAAGGCGGGUCUCUGGGCAGUAACUGACGCUGAGGAGCGAAAGCGUGGGGAGCGAACAGG